AUCAAUCCACCAUGCCUAAAUUUGCCUACCCGAACCUACCAUUUGCAUAUCCAAUUAGCGACCUAAAAUCGUGACACUAUCGAGUUCACCAACAUUAUUCAUGUUUAUUCCAAGUUGAAUAAAAAGUAACAAUAAAACCAUCAUUAACCCAAAUUCAUCAUUUUAUCAAUAUCGUAAUUCCACCCCAAUUUUCCUUUUAUCAACCCAUUAAAACAUGAUCAAACUCAU
rnacentral:lncRNA from 1 species